UACAGAGGGUGCAAACGUUGUUCGGAAUUACUGGGCGUAAAGCGCGUGUAGGCGGCUUGGCAAGUCGGAUGUGAAAUCCCAGGGCUCAACCCUGGAAGUGCAUUCGAAACUGCUUCGCUAGAGUUCUGGAGAGGAAGGUGGAAUGCUUGGUGUAGAGGUGAAAUUCGUAGAUAUCAAGCGGAACACCGGUGGCGAAGGCGACCUUCUGGACAGUGACUGACGCUGAGACGCGAAAGCGUGGGGAGCAAACAGG
rnacentral:rRNA from 1 species